rnacentral:rRNA from 1 species
GAUGAACGCUAGCUACAGGCUUAACACAUGCAAGUCGCGGGGCAGCAUGGGGGUUGCUUGCAAUCCCCGAUGGCGACCGGCGCACGGGUGAGUAACGCGUAUCCAACCUGCCCUUCACCACGGGAUAACCCGGUGAAAGUCGGACUAAUACCGUAUGUUGUCCAUUGACGGCAUCCGAUUUGGACGAAAGGUUUGGCGGUGAAGGAUGGGGAUGCGUCCGAUUAGCUGGACGGCGGGGUGACGGCCCACCGUGGCGACGAUCGGUAGGGGUUCUGAGAGGAAGGUCCCCCACACUGGAACUGAGACACGGUCCAGACUCCUACGGGAGGCAGCAGUGAGGAAUAUUGGUCAAUGGGCGUAAGCCUGAACCAGCCAAGUAGCGUGCAGGAUGACGGCCCUAUGGGUUGUAAACUGCUUUUAUGCGGGGAUAAAGUGGCCCACGUGUGGGUUUUUGCAGGUACCGCAUGAAUAAGGACCGGCUAAUUCCGUG